rnacentral:sRNA from 1 species
GCCUAGCCCCGAUUGUAGCAAUUGUUUGAGCUCUUUUUUUUGAUUUUUUUCAAAAAAAAAGCGAGUGCGGAAAGCGGGAAAUUGC